rnacentral:rRNA from 1 species
CCUACGGGCGGCAGCAGUGGGGAAUAUUGGACAAUGGGCGAAAGCCUGAUCCAGCCAUGCCGCGUGUGUGAAGAAGGCCUUCGGGUUGUAAAGCACUUUCAGUGGGGAAGAAAGCCUUGGGGCUAAUACCCUCGAGGAAGGACAUCACCCACAGAAGAAGCACCGGCUAACUCCGUGCCAGCAGCCGCGGUAAUACGGAGGGUGCGAGCGUUAAUCGGAAUUACUGGGCGUAAAGCGCGCGUAGGCGGUCUGAUAAGCCGGUUGUGAAAGCCCCGGGCUCAACCUGGGAACGGCAUCCGGAACUGUCAGGCUAGAGUGCAGGAGAGGAAGGAAGAAUUCCCGGUGUAGCGGUGAAAUGCGUAGAGAUCGGGAGGAAUACCAGUGGCGAAGGCGGCCUUCUGGACUGACACUGACGCUGAGGUGCGAAAGCGUGGGUAGCAAACAGGAUUAGAUACCCCUGUAGUC